rnacentral:rRNA from 1 species
GUCGACGAUGAGCCCUUCGGGGUGGAUUAGUGGCGAACGGGUGAGUAACACGUGGGCAAUCUGCCCUUCACUCUGGGACAAGCCCUGGAAACGGGGUCUAAUACCGGAUAACACUCCUGCUCUCAUGGGCAGGGGUUGAAAGCUCCGGCGGUGAAGGAUGAGCCCGCGGCCUAUCAGCUUGUUGGUGAGGUAAUGGCUCACCAAGGCGACGACGGGUAGCCGGCCUGAGAGGGCGACCGGCCACACUGGGACUGAGACACGGCCCAGACUCCUACGGGAGGCAGCAGUGGGGAAUAUUGCACAAUGGGCGAAAGCCUGAUGCAGCGACGCCGCUGAGGGAUGACGGCCUUCGGGUUGUAAACCUCUUUCAGCAGGGAAGAAGCGAAAGUGACGGUACCUGCAGAAGAAGCGCCGGCUAACUACGUGCCA